CCUGACUGUCCCUGCAUGAUGCAGGAGGCUGCAGAGCAGGCAAUGAAAGUUAAGGAAGUUUUUCAUUUUGUGAUUUUUGGGUUUUUUAAGGCACAAACAGAUACUUCCAGGAAGUAGCCUCAGAAAAUAAUUUGAAAGUAACUUUUGUUGACUGCACAAAGCCAAAAUGCCUGGAAGCUGCAAUUACACCAGAGACCAAGCUGGUUUGGCUCGAGAGCCCCACGAACCCCACGCUGAAGGUGAUCGACAUCAAAGCCUGCGCAGAGGUGGCGCACAGGCACCCAGGGGUGCUGGUGGCCGUGGACAACAGCUUCAUGUCUCCAUAUUUCCAGGUGUGUCACCUGCCCCAGGUCAGGGGGAUUGGGAUGGGGUGGGAAAGGGAUUGUAUCAGAUCUGUUUCCCAGGAGACCAAGCUGAGCCCUGGUGUUGUAGGUUUGAAGUCACCGUUUUUGCAGAGUGCAAAGUGCCUGCUGGGUAUGGUGAUCUUGCUGAAUUAAGAGAACUUGGCAGAAAAUGUUAAUGCUUAGCUCAAGCAGCUCUGCAGUUGGCCUGGGACAUGCCAGAGGCUUGGGGAUUUGCCCUGCAAUGUGUUGUUCACUUCAGAAUUCCCAAUUUCCUCCAGAAAGUGCUGUGUGGAAGAGCACAGGGUGCUGGUUAAUGUGUCUGGAGCAGCCCAGUGUGGAGGGAAAGCCAGCGCUAAUGAUUAAUUGGUGGGAGCAGUAGGUGAGGUACCACACUGGGCUAAGAAAAGGAGAAUUUCACAGUCAUCUGUCCAUCAAUGUUGAGUGUAAAAGUCCUUUUCCAUUAUGGUUCUGGCUGGGCAUCUCCACAUUCCCUGGGUGAGAGUCUGCAUUUAGUGUGGCAGCAGCAGUUUUGGCAACUGCUUGCUUUGUUAAGUUUUAACAGUGAUGCCCUUCACUCUUUAGAAUGUUCUGAUACCAGGUGCAAAGUGCCUUAAUUAGUGACUGAUUAAAAAUCUGGCACUGCUCAGCCCCUCUUGCCCAUCCAGCUCCUGGUUUGUCUCCCCUCAGGAGGCUCCUGGGCAGAGCACUGGNCUUUGUGUAAGAGCCUCCUUCGGUCUUCCUUCCAAACCGAGGGAAUAUUUCUUAAGGAGUUUGUGGAUGCCCUGUAGAAAGUGCUAGAAAGGUUUGACGGGACGUGGCACAAAGCUGCCACUCCUCAAUCAGCACCUGCUCCAAACUCGCGUUGUGCUGGUGGCGCAGGAGGAAUUUGCCUUGUGAUUCCUCAUUCCACACAGAAUCCCAGCUGUGCUGAGGAGGCCCUCAGGAGGAGUCACGCUGCUGUAUCCACAUCCUGAUGACAGGAUCCAUGCUCUUGCCGGGAGCUCUGCCAGAGCGAUCUGCAGAAUUCCUGACUAUGAGGAAGUUGACAUUAAAGAGAAAUCCUAAAAGCAGGCAAAUCCCAGGGUGCUCAGCAGGUUCUCUUGGUAACAACUGCGUGCAUGAGUCUUAUUUUCCUCAUUGAAUUUGCCCAGAAUUUGCAUAAAAGCUGUGACAAUU
rnacentral:lncRNA from 1 species